GGUUUCGUGGUCUAGUGGUGAUGACACUGGACUCUGAAUCCAGUAACCCGAGUUCGAAUCUCGGCGAAACCU
rfam:Selaginella moellendorffii unplaced genomic scaffold SELMOscaffold_60, whole genome shotgun sequence.